GUGACAGCCCCGUACACAAAAAUGCACAUAUUGUGAGCUCGAUGAGUAGGGCGGGACACGUGGUAUCCUGUCUGAAUAUGGGGGGACCAUCCUCCAAGGCUAAAUACUCCUGACUGACCGAUAGUGAACCAGUACCGUGAGGGAAAGGCGAAAAGAACCCCGGCGAGGGGAGUGAAAAAGAACCUGAAACCGUGUACGUACAAGCAGUGGGAGCACGCUUAGGCGUGUGACUGCGUACCUUUUGUAUAAUGGGUCAGCGACUUAUAUUCUGUAGCAAGGUUAACCGAAUAGGGGAGCCGAAGGGAAACCGAGUCUUAACUGGGCGUUAAGUUGCAGGGUAUAGACCCGAAACCCGGUGAUCUAGCCAUGGGCAGGUUGAAGGUUGGGUAACACUAACUGGAGGACCGAACCGACUAAUGUUGAAAAAUUAGCGGAUGACUUGUGGCUGGGGGUGAAAGGCCAAUCAAACCGGGAGAUAGCUGGUUCUCCCCGAAAGCUAUUUAGGUAGCGCCUCGUGAAUUCAUCUCCGGGGGUAGAGCACUGUUUCGGCAAGGGGGUCAUCCCGACUUACCAACCCGAUGCAAACUGCGAAUACCGGAGAAUGUUAUCACGGGAGACACACGGCGGGUGCUAACGUCCGUCGUGAAGAGGGAAACAACCCAGACCGC
rnacentral:rRNA from 1 species